UCUUGGUCAUUUAGAGGAAGUAAAGUGUCGUAACAAGGUUUCCGUAGGUGAACCUGCGGAAGGAUCAUUA
rnacentral:rRNA from 1 species